AUGACGACCGGCGCACGGGUGCGUAACGCGUAUACAAUCUACCUUUUGCUGGGGAUAGCCUUUGGAAACGAAGAUUAAUACCCCAUAGUAUGUAAAACUCUCCUGAGUUUAACAUUAAAGGUUACGGCAAAAGAUGAGUAUGCGUCCUAUCAGCUAGAUGGUAAGGUAACGGCUUACCAUGGCAACGAUAGGUAGGGGCCCUGAGAGGGGGAUCCCCCACACUGGUACUGAGACACGGACCAG
rnacentral:rRNA from 1 species